UACUACUCCUUCCGUCCCAUA
rnacentral:miRNA from 1 species